rnacentral:rRNA from 1 species
AGCGAACGCUGGCGGUAGGCCUAACACAUGCAAGUCGAACGGCAGCACAGUAAGAGCUUGCUCUUACGGGUGGCGAGUGGCGGACGGGUGAGGUAUACAUCGGAAUCUACUUUUUCGUGGGGGAUAACGUAGGUAAACUUACUCUCAUACCGCAUACGCCCUACGGUUGAAAGCAGGGGAUCUUCGGACCUUGCGCGAUUGAAUGCGCCGAUGUCGGAUUAGCUAGUUGGCGGGGUAAAGGCCCACCCAGGCGACGAUCCGUAGCUGGUCUGAGAGGAUGGUCAGCGACACUGGAACUGAGACACGGUCCAGACUACUAAGGGAGGCAGCAGUGGGGAAUAGUGGACAAUGGGCGCAAGCCUGAUCCAGCCAUACCGCGUGGGUGAAGAAAGCCUUCGGGUUGUAAAGACCUUUUGUUGGGAAAGAAAAGCAGCAGGUUAAUACCCCGCUGUUCUGACGGUACCCAAAGAAUAAGCACCGGCUAACUUCGUG